rnacentral:rRNA from 1 species
CCGCGGUAAAACCGGUUACUCCUACGGGAGGCAGCAGCUAGGAAUCUUGCGCAAUGGACGAAAGUCUGACGCAGCGACGCCGCGUGCGGGAUGAAGGCCUUAGGGUCGUAAACCGCUUUCAGCAGGGACGCGGUACCUGCAGAAGAAGCCCCGGCCAACUAC